CAGCAGCCACGGGAAUACGAAGGGUGCAAGCGUUAAUCGGAAUUACUGGGCGUAAAGCGUGCGUAGGCGGUGAGUUAAGUCUGCUGUGAAAUCCCCGGGCUCAACCUGGGAAUGGCAGUGGAUACUGGCUCGCUAGAGUGUGUCAGAGGAUGGUGGAAUUCCCGGUGUAGCGGUGAAAUGCGUAGAGAUCGGAAGGAACAUCUGUGGCGAAGGCGACUAUCUGGGCCAACACUGACACUGAGGCACGAAAGCGUGGGGAGCAAACAGGAUUAGAUACCCCGGUAGUCCCUGUCUCUUAUAC
rnacentral:rRNA from 1 species